GUUUAAAUGGAUAAUCAGGAGGAAAAUGAAUAGUGACUAAAAAUACACCCCCAGCAUAGGGACUAUCUGGAGGGCCCAUUAUUGUAGCUUGCCAGUGAAACAUGUCCUCUCCGACGGGGCCAGCGCUACAAGAAGUAGGAGGAUCUUUCUGAAGGUCCUUAAGCUCCUUCAAUAUCCGCUUAGAAGCCAUGGCAGAAAAAUUGAAACAACACUAACAACUCAAAGAGAUCUAAACAAACAAACCAAAAGAAGAUGAAAAUUUAUGAAGGAAUCUGUAAGAAUGUAUAUAAAUAUAGAGAGAGAUAAAC
rnacentral:misc_RNA from 1 species